UGCUAAUGAUGUGGAUACUCCUAAAGAAGAGCUUUGAACCUCUCCCAUGCAUAGAAUAAGUUCUUAUUUGUCUUUUGUUUGAAACACACAAUCUCACUGCGUAGUCU